rnacentral:rRNA from 1 species
UACGUAGGGCGCAAGCGUUAUCCGGAAUUAUUGGGCGUAAAGAGCUUGUAGGCGGUUUGUCGCGUCUGCUGUGAAAUUUCGGGGCUCAACCCCGAACUUGCAGUGGAUACGGGCAGACUAGAGUGUGGUAGGGGAGACUGGAAUUCCUGGUGUAGCGGUGAAAUGCGCAGAUAUCAGGAGGAACACCGAUGGCGAAGGCAGGUCUCUGGGCCAUAACUGACGCUGAGAAGCGAAAGCAUGGGGAGCGAACAGG